rnacentral:lncRNA from 1 species
AAAUUUCCAGAAUUGGAUUCCGACCCCGAUAUCAAAAAGUCAACUCCCCGGUCAAAUUUCCAAACUUAACUUUCUAUUUUAGCCAUUUCAAGCUAAAUUCUACUACGGACUUUCAAAUAAUUUUUCGGACAUGCUCCUAAGUCCAAAAUCACCAUACGGAGCUAUUGGAAUCAUCAAAACUCUAUUCUGGGAUCGUUUAUACAUAAGUCAAUAUCCGGUCAACUAUUUCAACUUAAGCUUCCAACAUGAAAUUCAUUCUUCUAAGCUAACUCUGAAAUACCUUAAAACUAAAACCGACAAUUCACACAAGUCAUAAUACCUCGUAGGAAAUUAUCCAAAACUUCAAAUAGUUUAAAGAAGCGUAAAUGCUCAAAAUGACCGUUCGGGUCGUUACAAUACCUAAGGAAGUGGCUUUUUUCGUUCGACCCCACGAUCUAUAGCCACAUUACCAAUAUCGCUAAGCGCUUUCCUAUUUCUCCCUUCUGCUGCCAUAUUCUUUUUCUACGUUACUGCCCCAGGGACUGCCUCACCUGAACAAUAUAAAAGUCUAUCUAUAUUAGCAGUAUCAAAUAAAAUACAAUUAACAUUCAAUACAUAGUAUAAUAUUUAUAGAAUUGAUUAUGUAAUAUCAUAUACUGAACCAUCUUUCAUCAAUAUUUCAAGAGGUUCACCCAAUAAAGAUGGAUGGUGCACAAAGUGUAUCGACUUAGUAUCAAACAAAAUACCACAAACAUUCAAUAAUAUUUAGAGAAUAAUUAUAUGUAACAUCAUUUGGCAUGAUAGAUGGUUCACCCUAUAAGAAAUGUUUAUGUCCCUGAAAGUUUACUGAGAGACCUAUCCAAAAACUAAUAGGCCACCGCUUCUUUCAUCAGUUUAAUUUUAACACAACUAUUUUAUUUUUUUGUUAAAAGGUAAAGAAACAACAUAUAAUGAUUGAAUGUGCAUCAUUUACGAAAAACUAUACCACAAACAGCCAAAUAGGUCGAUUGGUUCACAUAGGUAUCCAACCAACAGAGAAAGUAUGGAAGAAAAUCAAAUACUGAAGACUGUAAGAGCUGAAAUUAAUAAGUAAACAUAUUAUAAUUUAUGUAGUUCCUGAAUGACAUACCAUUGCUAUAAAUUUGGUGUAAAAAAAGACUGUAAUACUUCUUCAGGCUAUCAUGGUGCACUUCCAGAUCAGAAAAUUUCAUCUACAUAUCUUUAGACAGCAGGUUUUAGAAAUGGUCCAAGCGCCAAAGUUCUUUAAAUGAGCGUUAAUAUUCUCCAGUGAUUGGUGCUUUCCUACUAAUGAGGCAGUCCCUUGACUCUUCGCUUCACCUUUUAGAAUGCUCAACGAAGGAGGCAUUAAAUAUUCUAUAAAAUCAUUGGGGCAAAGUAGGCGAAAAGAGGUCAUUACAAAUUUUCUUUAGAAUUCGCAAAAUAAUAAACAAAAACAUAUUUAAUGUUCCAUCUCUAAUAAAUGGUUUAAUACAAAAAUAAAUUGCAUCAAUUCUCGAAUAUAGAACCAAUGUAACAGAGAAAAUGGGCAAAAUAUAACCAACAAUGACAAGCCCUACAAAGAAUUACAUUAAGUAAAAGACAGUGUUUGAAGGAAUUAGUAAUACAAUAAUUCUAGAUUAAUUAAUACAAAUCUUUAUAUUACUAUACUUGAAUACUUGAAUUUAUACUAACAUUAAUUUGUAGUAAUAUUAUUUUUUAAUGUUAGAGUUGAAAGAAUUAGUAAGUGGAAGAAACAACUCCAGAUUUAAAACUUAAUCACACCAAAAACAGAGAACGUAUAACGAAUUAGCAACACACAAAAAAAUCAAAGUAACUAAUACUAAUUUAUAUUAUAGAAGCUAUUGAGCUUUGUGGCUGCGUCGUCGACAAAGCAAACAUACCUUCAUAAACAAAUAUCAAACAUAGCAGCAUCAGUUAGUAGGAGAGAAAUAAUAUGCUUAUAAUAUACCAAAUCAUCUAUGAUAACAUGGUUCAGUGAACUUACAAUGAAAACGACUGAAUAGCUUAUAUCAAGAAUUUCCGCUUGAUGUGCACAAAGGAGAAAGAUUUAGUGAUUGUUAAAGUAGAACUUGAUUUCAAAAGGCAUUGAAAUCAUGUUACUAAGAAUACCCUAGAAGAAUUGGUGGGUUAGGAGUUAGAAAUCGUGGCGUGGGAUCGUGGGAUCGUGGGAUUGAAGCGCCAUCGUGGGAAUGGAAGUCGAAA